UUUCCUGUAAAGAGAAACAUGUAUAAAUGCAACCGUGUUGAUAGUUUAUUAAUUCUUAUAUCAUAUUAACCUCCACAGGUUAUUGAAGAGUUGAGCGCAACUAAAGAAGAGGCUGCAGAUGAAGUUGUUAGGGAGGCGUUAGAAUGAUCAGUGAAUAUAUUAAAUGGAAGCAAGAUUCUUCUCACAGUCGGUUAGUUGCUAACACUCGGUAGUUGCUAACAAAGGGCUCGAGGCAAGGAUAAUAGUAUUUGAAUUGGAAUGUAGAGAAAUGAGGCAGUUGUUACCUCCAUCCAUAGAUGAAGCUGCACAUUCAGGUUGCAUGGACGAAGAUGUAUUGAAAGAAGGAAAUGGUGUGGAGACGUCUCAAUGGAAGAUAUUGAAAGGGUUACUGAAAGAGAGGUAGCAAAUGUUUCUUGUAAUGAACAUCUGCAAGCAUCAACCUUGAUCACUGGAAUUAAAGAUAAGUCAAGAAACCGUGUGGAUAGUGGGUUUAUGCGGACACGGUGAGUGAAAGGUGAUAUGAAGAAGAGGAAGAAAGAUACUGAAGUUCUAUGAUGAAAUGUUUAAGUAAAUUAUUUUUAAAUGUUUUGAAUUUCCUAAGACCCUGUCAAGGUGAUAGUAUUGGUGAAACAUAAUAUGUUGUUAGCCAAUGAUAUGCCUUUAAUGUAAUAUCCUUUUAAUUGGUGUAACUACUAUUAGUUUUCAAGAAAAACUUAAUUUUGUGCCAUACAAACAGGGUAUCAUAAAACUUAUGGCCCUCCUUGUUUCUUGGAGUCUAAAUUGCAUAUUUGAUCUCAUCUGAGGUAAGCGCGCGUAAAGAUGAACAUUUUGAAAACCUGGAUAAAAUAAUGGUGACGCCUAUUAAAUAUUGUGGUCACAUUGUUCAUUGUUUUGGUUAUCAAAAAUUUUAAGAUGGAAACCUGGAUAUAUGGUAACUUUGGAUGUCUCGCUGACAAAUUGGCUUGAAUUGAUUUUUUUUUUUUUUUUGCACAGGUAAAUUACAGCUAACCAAAUAAACGAACAAUAUAACCAUAAUUUGUCAAAGGCGUAACCAUUUUUUCCCAGCAUUCAAAAUUGGUCAUCGUUCUCAUAUCCGACCUAACAACCUAAAAUAUGAUACCCUUAGUAAUCUGAGGCACAUGGAUGGUGGUAAAAUUAAAUGUAUCACUGAGAAAUUGGCUCCAAUUAAUUUUUUUUUCACAUGUAAAUUACAGAUAACCAAAUAAAUAAACAAUAUAACCACAAUUUUUCAAUAGUGUAACCAUAAUUCUUUCUUGCGUUCAAAAUUGAUCGGAUUUAUCUGUUUCGACUUCACAACAAAAAUUAGAAUGUGUCUUUAAUAAUCCAACUGAACCAGGAAUUAGCACAAGUUUGUCCCGAAAUUGGUCAUCUAUAAGUUUAACCACAAUUUAACAAAGGCGCAACCAUAUUUUUUUCCUCCGUUCAAAAUUGAUCAUCUAUAAGUUUACCAGUAACAUAAAACUAAUGCAAUUACGUGUCCUAGAAAAAUAGAAUACAAGAAACAUAAUAUCACUAUUUACUGGUUGUGACUUUUUACUAAUUAUUGAUAGGUAAAUCCAAUUGACCAAAUCUAUAUAGUGAUUACCCACAUUUUAACAAAAGAGUGACCAUAUUUUUUUUCAUGAGUUUAAAUUGUGUUUCCUUGUCACUAGUUAUCAAUGACAACUACCAUUUGAGUCUAUAAUUUAAAAAAGGAUAAUUUCAAUAUGCAAAUUUGUACAUUUUUUACAAUUAUAAUUUAUAUUAGUAACAACUAGCUACAAUAUGACCGCAUAUGGGCUCUAUGAAGAGUUGCAUAGAAUUACAAAAGUAUGUGAUAAUACAGACUCCUAAUUUGAGUUAAUAAUAUGUUGUUACCACUCCUAGUAUGCUAAUACACCAUAUAGAAGUAACCACACCAGUAAUGCUAAAAUACCACAAGAAAGUACUUAAACUAACAUUUCAAAUUAAAAAGAUAUUGUUUUCACAAGAAAACUAUAUAUAACCAAAUAUUUGAAGCGUGUAACCACAAUUUUACAAAGGCGAAACCAUAUUUGUUUUCAUUCGUUUAAAAUUGGUUGUUUCUAAGUUUGCUAUCCUCACAUCUGAAAACUAAUGAAAUUGAGAGUCCAAAAAACAUAUAAUAUCGGUCACUUUUGAUAUUUCGUUGAUAAAUAUCCCUAAAAAUAUAUUGUUUUCACAACAAAACUGCAGAUAACCAGAUUGUUGAAGUGUAUAACCACAAUUUUACAAAGCUAUAACCAUGUUUUUUUCAUGUGUUUCAAAUUGGUCGUCUAUAUAAUUAUUGGAAAGUAUUUCUCAAUUUUGGUUAGUUUUUGCGAAGCCUGUUAAAGAUGAACAAUAGUUCACCUCUCACCCAUGCUCAUUAGUCAAGAUUAUCUAAUUUACCCAAAUGUAUUCCUUUCACAUAAUUUAGGUGGAUAAAUAGUAAGAAAGAGAUAAAAUGUACCUCAAAUCUCAUUUUUGGAUAAAACAUGGUUCCACUUUUGAUAAAACUUGCAGCUUAUAAAAGUUGUUUAUGGUCAGACGAACGUUGAAUGUGGUGAACUAGUGUGCUUCGAUGUUCGUUUGGCCUAAAAUGUCAUUCUUUUUAAACAGGAAGUUACAGUUAACCAUAAAUUUGGUAUGUGUGACCACAAUCUUUCAGUUGUUUGACCAUUCUCUACCAGAUUUUUAAAACAAGAUUAUUUAUACUUGGGAAAGAUAAACUAGACAAAUAUAUGGUUUGUGUAACCACAUUUUUUAAGGUGCGUGACCACUAUUUUUUCAGAAAUUAGAACUUGUCCGUCUUUAGGCGUGAUAAACUCGCAGAUUGUAAAAGAAGUUAUUUAUGGUUGGAAAGGCUUUUAGUGCAAUGAUCAAAUUAGAUUAUGUGUUCGAUUCACUUAAAACAAGAUUAUUUAUACUUGGGAAAGAUAAACUAGCCAAAUAUAUGGUUUGUGUAACCACAUUUUGUAAGGUGCGUGACCACUAUUGUUUCAGAAAUUAGAACUUGUCUGUCUUUAGACCUGAUAAACUCGCAGAUUGUAAAAAAAGUUAUUUAUGGUUGGAAAGACUUUUAGUGCAGUGAUCAAAUUAGAUUAGGUAUGUUGGACCGUUACCAUAAGUGAUUAACGACUGCUAACCAUGACAGUCUUUAGGAAAACUAACCAUAUUUCUGAUGUAGUUAAUCACUAAAUAUCAAAUGCGUAACCACAAUUUCUUUCCCUAACCAAUUUGUCUUUCUCAUUAUUCAUCCAUGUGAUAUGAUGGAAGAUAAUAUAUUUCGACACACUUGUGAGUAAACUGAUGUUAAUAAAGUGGGAGGUGAAGUAUCUUGUAAGUUUGGCAGACUUUACAAAUACUAACCAAAUCGAGGAAGCAUUUAACCAAUAUUUAUCAAAUGUGUAACUACUAUUAGUUUUUAAGAAAAACUUAAUUUUGUGCCAUACAAA
rnacentral:lncRNA from 1 species